AUUGAACGCUGGCGGUAUGCCUUACACAUGCAAAUCGAACGGUAACGGGCCUUCGGGUGCCGACGAGUGGCGAACGGGUGAGUAAUACAUCGGAACGUGCCCGAUCGUGGGGGAUAACGAGGCGAAAGCUUUGCUAAUACCGCAUACGAUCUACGGAUGAAAGCAGGGGACCGCAAGGCCUUGCGCGGACGGAGCGGCCGAUGGCAGAUUAGGUAGUUGGUGGGAUAAAAGCUUACCAAGCCGACGAUCUGUAGCUGGUCUGAGAGGAUGAUCAGCCACACUGGGACUGAGACACGGCCCAGACUCCUACGGGAGGCAGCAGUGGGGAAUUUUGGACAAUGGGCGCAAGCCUGAUCCAGCCAUGCCGCGUGCAGGAUGAAGGCCUUCGGGUUGUAAACUGAUUUUGUACGGAACGAAAAGCCUUCUUUUAAUACAGGAGGGUCAUGACGGUACCGUAAGAAUAAGCACCGGCUAACUACGUG
rnacentral:rRNA from 1 species